rnacentral:tRNA from 1 species
GCCGAAGUGGCGGAAUGGCAGACGCAGGGGACUUAAAAUCCCCCGGUCUCUGACCGUACGGGUUCGAGUCCCGUUUUCGGCACCA